GCCAAAUUAUGUUUAUUGAUACAGGAACACUUACAUGCCAGGUUGACUCUCAUCUAUCACCCAUGACCUAUGGCU
ensembl:snoRNA SNORD83 Small nucleolar RNA SNORD83